GAUGAACGCUGGCGGCGUGCCUAAUACAUGCAAGUCGAGCGAACGAACGAGAAGCUUGCUUCUCUGAUGUUAGCGGCGGACGGGUGAGUAACACGUGGAUAACCUACCUAUAAGACUGGGAUAACUUCGGGAAACCGGAGCUAAUACCGGAUAAUAUUUUGAACCGCAUGGUUCAAAAGUGAAAGACGGUCUUGCUGUCACUUAUAGAUGGAUCCGCGCUGCAUUAGCUAGUUGGUAAGGUAACGGCUUACCAAGGCAACGAUGCAUAGCCGACCUGAGAGGGUGAUCGGCCACACUGGAACUGAGACACGGUCCAGACUCCUACGGGAGGCAGCAGUAGGGAAUCUUCCGCAAUGGGCGAAAGCCUGACGGAGCAACGCCGCGUGAGUGAUGAAGGUCUUCGGAUCGUAAAACUCUGUUAUUAGUGAAGAACAUAUGUGUAAGUAACUGUGCACAUCUUGACGGUACCUAAUCAGAAAGCCACGGCUAACUACGUG
rnacentral:rRNA from 1 species